ACUGGGAGAAAAUCUUUGGUUCGUCUAGUAGAGGAUCCAAUUCGGUGGAGUCCACUUACAGAUGUCGUUGAGGGGUGCUCUCCAACAUUACCCCACCUUAGAGGUCUUCAAAAUGGUGAUACUGUUACUAGUGCCAUAAAGCAGGUCCGAAUACACCAUCCGAAGCCCAUGGAGAUUCUGUGUUCCCUACUUUUUUUUUAGUUGGCCUCAACAUUAUGUAUGAAGGUUUUAGAUGAUAAUGCAUGAACAACUUUUUGGUUUUGUAAUAUUCAAAGUCUGUAUUUCAAUAAAAAAAGGUUAUUUGUGUGUAAAUA